rnacentral:lncRNA from 1 species
UUAUUUUCAUCACUUUCCUGUAUUAUACCAUCUUUGGCAGCACAAACACAUCUUUGACCAUGAUUAUCACACAUUGAUUCUUGUUCAUCCCAAAGACCUUUGAGCUUAUUAAAAUAUGAAGCUACAUCUAAGAAUCCUUGGAGGUGUGAGAAAGCUCUCUUUUCAAUUCAAAGAUUUUGGUCAUGUUUGCAGUGCCAUAUCUGGCCUGAAGUUGGGACCAUAUACUCUGUGCACUAUCAGAAUACUGCACACUUUUAGCAAUUUGAGGGGAGAGGGAGGCAGUUAACCAGGAAAUCACCAUGUUAUUGCACAUAUCCCAUAAACUUUGUUGAGCCACAUUAAUGGCUGGUCGGGAGCACGUGCCAUCAAAAAACCAAUUUUGUUUUUAGCAGAUAAUGCAACAAUCAUUUUUCUCCU